UAGAAGCAUACAAGUUCUUUGAUGCAAUAUCUGCUAUAUACUCAUGGUGGCAGUACCAGCGAUGUCAUGUAUUUAUAGAAGCUGCAAAACCUUACUUAAUGAUCCUCAAGAGUUUGAUUCAGUAACAGCUUCUUGUAGAUAUGCUCUGCAGGUUUACCUCAACACUUGUUUGCAUCUGCUUCGCCCAUUCAUGCCUUAUGUAACAAAAGAACACUGGCAUCAUCUUCCUCUGCCUAAUAAUUCUUGCAAGAAAAGGUGGAAAACUACUAUUAUUUAUGACAGGAAUGGGCAGAUGAUAGACUUGAAAGUGAAGUUGGUAUUGACUUGGAUACAAUGAACAUACUUAGAUCUCUGAAGCCACCAACAGAUACAAAUGAAAGGUAUCCUACACAAUGGAAUUACUGCUCGGCUCAGAUGCUAUGCUGGUCUGAAGUGUAUGUCAACUGCAAGAUAUAGUGCCCUGAACUAUAUGUUAGUGUUAUUUUCGUACCACAGUGAUAAUUUUCAGGCCCAGCGUAAUUCUGUGUUUCGGUCUGCUC